rnacentral:rRNA from 1 species
GAUGAACGCUGGCUACAGGCUUAACACAUGCAAGUCGUGGGGAAACGGCAUUAUGUGCUUGCACAUUCUGGACGUCGACCGGCGCACGGGUGAGUAUCGCGUAUCCAACCUGCCCCUUACUUGGGGAUACCCCGUUGAAAGACGGCCUAAUACCCAAUGUGUUUCAUUGACGGCAUCCGAUAUGAAACAAAGGUUUUCCGGUAAGGGAUGGGGAUGCGUCUGAUUAGCUAGUUGGCGGGGCAACGGCCCACCAAGGCGACGAUCAGUAGGGGUUCUGAGAGGAAGGUCCCCCACAUUGGAACUGGGACACGGUCCAAACUCCUACGGGAGGCAGCAGUGAGGAAUAUUGGUCAAUGGACGGAAGUCUGAACCAGCCAAGUAGCGUGCAGGAUGACGGCCCUAUGGGUUGUAAACUGCUUUUAUGUGGGAAUAAAGUGGCGCACGCGUGCGCCAUUGCAUGUACCUCAUGAAUAAGGACCGGCUAAUUCCGUGCCAGCAGCCGCGGUAAUACGGAAGGUCCGGGCGUUAUCCGGAUUUAUUGGGUUUAAAGGGAGUGUAGGCGGUCUGUUAAGCGUGUUGUGAAAUUUAGGUGCUCAACAUUUAACUUGCAGCGCGAACUGUCAGACUUGAGUACACGCAGCGCAGCGGAAUUCAUGGUGUAGCGGUGAAAUGCUUAGAUAUCAUGAGGAACUCCGAUCGCGAAGGCAGCCUGCGGGAGUGUUACUGACGCUUAAAGCUCGAAGGUGCGGGUAUCGAACAGG